rfam:Schistosoma rodhaini strain Burundi genome assembly, scaffold: SROB_scaffold0000834
AUCCAGUUGACGAGUCUCAAAUAGGACGAAACACACGUCCUGGAU